rfam:Listeria phage LP-101, complete genome.
GACGAAGACGUUCGUCACCGUAGAAGUCUACUGGUUUUAUAACUACGGAUA